UUAUGGAUGGAGCUCGUGACUUGGACUGGAAAUGACGAACUAUGCCCAAACAACUGGGCAUACAGUGACAUGAUCCAGGUCCACAAAUGGUGGACAGUUUUGGAUCAGACAUACAGUGUGUCCAAGAAAGGUUUACGCUCACAGAUCAUGGUUGUUUGUUGGGAAAUUUGGACGAAAAAGAAUGUAGGGGUCUUCGAGCACGAAGAGUCGACAAAUGUGAGAGUGCUACAAAAGAUUAAAGAUAAGACAUGCAUGUGGGUC
rnacentral:lncRNA from 1 species